CUUUCUGAAGGCUAGACUUCUUUGCUUCUGCUGCAGGUUCGAUGUUUUCCUCGUCCAGGAUUGUCUCUGGGUCCUGCACUCGGGUUUUGUCUGCAGACAUUCUUUGUUGGACCCGUUUUUUGAUGUUUUGAGCUCCAACUUUAAUGUUUGCAACAUGUGUUUUUAUUUUCUCAGUUUCAAAUGGCACGCAUGGAAGGCAAGAUGUCAGUUUAGGAGAUUUUGGUUCUACAACUUCAUCUUCCUUCUGUGCCUGUUGGCUUUUGGCCUUUGUCCUUUGAGACCGAGGCUUUUUUACUUUUGCAGCAGGUUGUGGGGAUUUCUCCGUGUCCAUUGAUCUAGACCUUUUUAUUCUUUCAUAAAGUCUUUCAAUGGCUGCUUUUGAUUCGCUGACAUCCCACCCUGUCUCUGUCUGCCUGCUGAAACGCUUUUUCGGGGCAGAGGGGGAGGAGGAUCCCGUCUCCUCAUCUACGGAGCCCAUACGCUUCUGUGAGAAAGGUAAGGGCUUUUUCUUCGGAGAGAGCUCCUCCCUGAAGCUGUCAAUCACCGCGUCAAUGGUUUCGCAGGUCAGCUCCUCCCUCAGCCUGGACAUUUUUCUCGCUGUGUUCUCGUUGAAGAUCCCGAAGACAACGUUGAAAAUAUCUACCGCCGUCAGUUUCGCGACGAUGUAGGAGGUUUCCCGAGAGGGGGGGCGGCUUUCGCCGUCGUAGGAAUAUUCCGAGCUGCUCAUUUUGUUUCACUCGCUCGCGCGCUUUUUCCCGUCCCGUUUGUCUUUCUGUGUCCCGGUCGUCCGGUUUAUUGUUUCUGCUAAAAUUGUUUCAGCUAAAAGCUUUUUCUGAACCCUUUUUAUGGUGUCAUCACUCGUAAUUGUUAUCCGGUAACUCGUCAUCAAUGGUUUCCUCUCGUGAGUGAUUACGUCACCCAACGUGGCAAUGACCAUCAUCGAUCGUCAUCUUUAAUCCUCGUCUUUAUCUGCUGUGACGUCAGCACGUUUAUCCUUCGACGUUUCUGUUGACUUUUCAAAUAGAGAUGCAGCUGUUUUACAGAUAAUAGUAAAACGUGAGGACACAAUUAAAAAAAUAAUCUCAGUAAACAAACACCUGGACAGGUGGUUCACCAGCUGGGACUGACAGAACCAGAACCAUUCAGUGCUUCUCAUGGUUGGUCCAGAAGGCUCAAUAUCAGCACACCACCCCAGUACUGCUGCAAAUAAUACGACCAACAGGAGCAGAGAUCUGCAGACUGGUGGCUGAAAGACUGAAACCCCCCGACCUGCAAAAGAUCUCAGCAGGCCUGCCUCCUCUGGAUGUUGAAAUAGUCUGGCUUCAGAUGUGGAUUACAUUGACGCUGUUCUGCACUGCAUAAUAGACAUGUGCCAUCUUUCUACCUGGGUGAAAAUGUCAAAAACUGCACCCUGCAAGCAACUGAAAACACAGCAGGUUCUCCCAGCUGCAGCUUAGCUGCUCAGGAUCUGCACACAUGAUCUUGACAUGAUCUCCUGAAGCAGGGCUAGCAGUUCUCACUCUGAAGCAGCUCCUACUUAUGAAGAUGGACUCAGUCCUGUGGCCAGCUACUCCACAAAGCUGGACCGAAUGGCUGCAGGCCUCCCUGAAUGUCUCGAUGCUGUGGUUGCAGCAGAGAAAGAAGCCUGAGCCUUUACAGAUGAUGUAAGUUAUGGUUCAUUAUGCAC